GACGAACGCUGGCGGCGUGCCUAAUACAUGCAAGUCGAACGCAGUGGGGACGGGUGCGUAACACGUGGGUAACCUCCCAUCAGAGGGGAUAACACUUGGGAACAGGUGCUAAACCGAGACGGAUGGAUGGCACCGCGGUGCAUUAGCUAGUGGGUGAGGUAACGGCUCACCAAGGCCACGAUGCAUAGCGGAGCUGUGAGGGUGAUCAGCCACACUGUGACUGAGACAAGGCCCAGACUCCUACGAGAGGCAGCAGUGGGGAAUCUUCGGCAAGGGACGAAAGUCUGACCGAGCAACGCGGCGUGAGUGAAGAAGGUUUUCGGAUCGUAAAACUCUGUUGUUAGAGAAGCGGUAUCUAACCAGAAAGCCACGGCUAACUACGUGCCAGCCGCCGCGGUAAUUC
rnacentral:rRNA from 1 species